GGAGUUGUGGCUCAGUGGUAGAGCACUUGCCUAGCAUGCAUGAGGCGCACUGGGUUUGAUACCCCCACCACA
rnacentral:tRNA from 1 species